GACGAACGCUGGCGGCGUGCUUAACACAUGCCAGUCGAACGGAAAGGCCCUGCUUUUGUGGGGUGCUCGAGUGGCGAACGGGUGAGUAACACGUGAGUAACCUGCCCUUGACUUUGGGAUGACUUCAGGGAACUGGGGCUAAUACCGGAUAGGAGCUCCUGCUGCAUGGGGGGGGUUGGAAAGUUUCGGCGGUUGGGGAUGGACUCGCGGCUUAUCAGCUUGUUGGUGGGGUAGUGGCUUACCAAGGCUUUGACGGGUAGCCGGCCUGAGAGGGGGACCGGCGACCUUGGGACUGCGAUACGGCCCAGACUCCUACGGGAGGCAGCAGUGGGGAAUAUUGCACAAUGGGCGGAAGCCUGAGGCAGCAACGCCGCGUGCGGGAUGACGGCCUUCGGGUUGUAAACCGCUUUCGCCUGUGACGAAGCGUGAGUGACGGUAAUGGGUAAAGAAGCACCGGCUAACUACGUG
rnacentral:rRNA from 1 species